UUGGUCUAAGGUCCCUACCCAACUUUUAGUAUGAGGAGAGAUCCAUAAUAAUAUUUUCUGGUGUCUAAGGUCCCUUAAUGUUAGUUUAGUUUAUAAAAUACCUAUUUUACCCUUUUGUAUAUUAUACGUGGUUUUCAAUUUUGGAAUCUGAAGAUUACGUUACUAUUUUUGUGGAAGAUUACUUUGGGAUGAACUUGGCGAUCGAUGGAGAUUUCGAUGAUGCAGAUUUCGUGAAAAUUUUAUAGGAAUUUUGUAGUCGUAUAGUAGUUGAGUUUCGUUGAUCGUAUAGAAGUUGAAGUCGUGUUGAAGCUCGAAUUUUCAGUAGAGUUGAAUCAGUGUUGUUGCUGUGCAAAUAUGGGAAUGAUACUAUUAUCAUUAAUGUUUCAUGUGAAUUGAAUUGAUGAUGCUAUGUUUUUACUUGCAUUGAGUAAGAGAUCAGCUAGGAGGCCAAAGAAGAACAGAAUUGCUUCUACUGAAGAGUUUAAAAGGGUGAUGAAGUGUAGUCAAUGUGAUAGGAUUGAUCGCCAUAAUAAGAGGACAUA